CUCACCAAUCAGUGACACGGACGCCCACGUGGCCAGAGACUUUUAUCUAAUCACCUGUGUGCAAAGUCGGGUGAGCGGUCGGUUUAAGUUAUAAAUAUGACCUGUUUGUUUAAUAAAGUGAGCACGGCAUGUAGCCAUAUUGGUGUGAUUGUCGUGACUUGGCCGACUGUCCAGUCGGGACCCUCUUCGUCUGGCGCCCGAACAGGGACCCAUUUAUUCGCUUAAAUGCGGUUUAGCUUAAAUACUGUUCGUUUAAAUGCGGAAGUCUCCAUGCAUCAGACCCAAAGGAAAGUUGUCCGAUUUGGGAGCUGGAGGUCGGAGGCGGGCGGAACCUGGAAAGGGAAAAGCGGAGUCCAGAGUUCGGUGUAGAGCUGCGGAUCGCACCUCCACCGGAGAUAAAGGACCUAUAUAGGUCCCUAGCAAGUUUGUGUGAUCUGUAUGUCAAGAUCAGAAGACGGAAGAGAAGACUCAGAGUGAGAAGACAGAAUAAACUGUCUGUGUUCUAAGGAUGUAGACCACGGGUAUUAUGCCAAUGUAUGCAAUGUGGGGUAAAAUGGUACUGUAAGCCAAAGUUUAAAUGUAAAUGGUGUGAAGGGUGUAUGGACAGUAAAUGGGGUACUGUGCGUCUGAAUAGUAACCGGGCAUGAAGCAAGAGGAAACAUAUGACUAGUGUAAUACCAUGCUGACUGGAGAUAGUACACAUCAUCACAAUCUGUGAAAGUACAGCUUGUGGUGUGGAACCUGAAAAUUGUACCUGAAAUUUGGUCUGGUUUAGAGCAGGAUUGGGAAGAAACUAGAACUUGUUUAAUUGGUAUUCCCCUGCAAGAGAAUGAAACAAAUUUUGAUGGUUUUUGGAAUCUUAAAGCAGUGAAUCUGACUUCCAAUCAGAAUGGUACAUGUAUGAGUCCAAAUGGGCAAUAUGUUUGGCCUUCUGUGCGUAAUGCAGCGUGGCAGAAGACGGUUAUUGAGAAUUUAAAUCAGCCACAUCAUUUACCUUUACAGGAGUUAGACCUAUUGGCUAGUGUUGUACCUGUCGAAUAUGUCAAUGUUACUACAACUGAUAUGGCAGACUGUACCCACAUGUCAUCACCACUUCAGCCUGUAGAUGGCACUGGAGUAAUUUGGUUUGGUGACCCGUGGCAAAUAUGGCUAACAUGUCAAGGUGAACGGAGGUUUUAUACAGGGUUUCAAAAUCUAACCGGUUCACCUAUUUGGGGUGAAUUGAAAACUGGGGGUUUCCAUGUAGAUGUACCAGGGGGUUAUCAGUUGCCGCUGGGAGUCUUUUUGAUUUGUGGGGACAGAGCGUGGCCAGGGAUUCCUUUGAAUCCUGUCGGUGGACCAUGUUAUUUAGGGCGUUUGACUUUCUUUGCUCGACAUAUGAAAGACUUAUUAAAAAUGAUUCAACAGUCUCACAGAUCACAGAGGGCACUGCGCACCUUUGAUGAAACAUGUAAUGACCGAGUCGAUCUACAUUCCGUAACAGAAAAUGUCUUGGCCUCCAUAUUUAUGCCGGAGGCAAUGGCAGCAUUAAAUGCUAAGAAUAUAUGAAGGUUAGCAUGCUGGGGAGAGAAACAAAUUAAUCUUACAUCGCAGAUUUUAAGUUCGUUAUUGCUUGAUGUAGAUAGCGUUAGGCAUGCUUUGUUACAGAAUAGAGCUGCAAUAGAUUUUUUGUUAUUAGCACAUGGACAUGGUUGUGAGGAUUUUGAAGGGAUGUGUUGUGUGAACCUUUCCGAUCAUUCCAUAUCGAUGCACAAGAAGUUGUCACAACUGCAGGGAAACAUGAAGCAUAUUCUUGCUGAUGAUAAUCCCUUCGAUGAAUGGUUGAGAGGAUUGGGGAUAACAGGUUGGUUAAAGACGUUAUUGAUGGAAGGAAUAUGCUUUGUUAUAAUCAUUGUUGUAAUGUUUUUAAAUUUUGGCUGUUUAUUUUCUUGUUUGAAGAAAGGUUUAACUUCUAUUGUGAACCAGACAUGGGUUGUCCAAAAAGAAAAAGGGGGAAUUGUAGAGGGAUUUUUAAAAGACCGAGGACAUAUGUUACCAUUAUCCGGUUUGGACAACCCAGGCCUGUUAGUUGAAGCUGCAGAGCAACUUUAAAUUGUCCUUGAGCCAAGCAGUGUGAGAAAGAAAACAAGCUAUGCACAAACAAGAAGCCAGGUGCAGAGCAAGUCCUGGGAACUGAGAAAUCAACACACUCUCAUUCAGCACACUCUGAUCAGGCGCCUGCAGUAUGCUCACCAAUCAGCGACACAGACACCCGCGUGACCAGAAACUUUUAUCCAAUCAUCUAUGUGUAGAGUCGCGUGAGCGAUUGGCUUAAGUUAUAAAUAUGACCUGUUUGUUUGAUAAAGUGAGCUCGACAUGUAGCCAUAUGGGUGUGAUUGUCGUGACUUGGCCAACUCUCCACGGGGACCCUCUUCAACGUCCCAUGGUAUGGAAUACCUCUUUGGCUAGCUUGGGUCACCUGUCCUGGCUGUGUCCCCUCCCAAUUUCCAGUGCACCCCCAGCCCUCUCACUGGCAGGGCCCAAGGAACUGAAAAGUCCUUAAUUUAGCAUAAACAUCACCCAGCAACAACUAAGAACAUCAGUGUCCUAUCAACAUUGUUCUCACAUCAUAGCCAAAACACAGCACUGUACUAACUACUAAGAAGAAAGUUAACUCUAUCCCAGCUGAAACUAGGACAGUAUCUUAAACAUAGGAGUUUUCUAAUUUGGUUUUCCUAAACUUGCUGUUGUUUUGUGUAUGCUGUUUCUUCCAGGACAACCUGAUACAUAUUGGACCAGAAAUGGAAAUUCGGGUUGUCACUCUAGGAUUAGAUUGAGCUGGAAAAAUAGCUAUUUUGUUUAAGUUAAAGAUGAAUUCAUGCAGCCAAUUCCAACAAUAGGUUAGUAGCAACAAUGUAAAUGUAAAGAUUUUCUGAACACUUGAUUUAUCUGUAGAAUUUGAUUAUUUUAUGUUCAUACAGAACAAGACUAUAAAACUUUAAUAUUUUUUUUUAG